AAUUUUCCUCAAGGUACGGAACAACUCAGGGAAACUUGGGCUAAUACCGUAUGAUGCAGAGAUGCCAAAGAUUUAUCGCCUUGGGAUAAGCCCGCGUCAGAUUAGGUAGUUGGUGAGGUAACGGCUCACCAAGCCUGUGAUCUGUAGCUGGUCUGAGAGGACGAUCAGCUACAUUGGGACUGAGACACGGCCCUAACUCCUACGGGAGGCAGCAGUGGGGAAUCUUGCGCAAUGGGCGAAAGCCUGACGCAGCCAUGCCGCGUGAAUGAUGAAGGUCUUAGGAUUGUAAAGUUCUUUCGCCUGUGACGAUGAUGACGGUAACAGGAGAAGAAGCCCCGGCUAACUUCGUGCCAGCAGCCGCGGUAAUACGAAGGGGGCUAGCGUUGUUCGGAAUUACUGGGCGUAAAGCGCGCGUAGGCGGCUUUGCAAGCCAGAGGUGAAAUGCCUGAGCUCAACUUAGGAAUUGCCUUUGGGACUGCGAGGCUUCGAGGACUGGAGAGGUGAGUGGAAUUCCCAGUGUAGAGGUGAAAUUCGUAGAUAUUGGGAAGAACACCAGUGGCGGAGGCGGCUCACUGGCCAGUUUCUGACGCUAAAGUGCGAAAGCGUGGGGAUCAAACAGGAUUAGAUACCCUGGUAGUCCACGCCGUAAACGAUGGA
rnacentral:rRNA from 1 species